GUCGUCGACGACGAAGAUCUCAUCUCCUACAUCAUUGCCGGCCUCGACGACACGUAUGAACCGGUGAUCUCCUCAAUCGUCGGCAAAUCUGAGCCGAUGUCCUUCGGGGAGGCUUUCUCUCAACUGCUCAGCUUUGAGC
rfam:Oryza sativa (indica cultivar-group) chromosome 5, whole genome shotgun sequence.